AUUGAACGCUGGCGGCAGGCCUAACACAUGCAAGUCGAGCGGAGCGGCGGACGGGUGAGUAAUGCCUAGGAAUCUGCCUGGUAGUUGGGGAUCACGUCCGGAAACGUGCGCUAAUACCGCAUACUCUCAGAUGAGCCUAGGUCGGAUUAGCUAGUUGGUGGGGUAAAGGCCUACCAAGGCGACGAUCCGUAACUGGUCUGAGAGGAUGAUCAGUCACACUGGAACUGAGACACGGUCCAGAAUCCGACGGGAGGCAGAAGUGGGGAAUAUUGGACAAUGGGCGAAAGCCUGAUACAGCCAUGCGGCGUGUGUGAAGAAGGUCUUCGGAUUGUAAAGCACUUUAAGUUGGGAGGCGUUACCAACAGAAUAAGCACCGGCUAACUUCGUGCCAGCCGCCGCGGUAAUAC
rnacentral:rRNA from 1 species